ACUGGAACCGGGAAACAACUAGUGUCAGGAACUUCAGGUAUUUAUACUAUUUGCUGCUGAUGGUGAGUCGGCUGUUGAUUACUGAUAAGGAGGAACUGGAGGGAAGAAAGAAGGAUCCUCGUUCAUUGUCAUCUUCUGUUUUGUCGGGCGUUUACCGAAUCUAUUUCCCUUUGAUUUCCGUUUUGCCAAAUGUGGCUGAAAUUUUGAUUUUAGAAAUGAAUUUAAGUAUAAUUUUGACUAUAAAUUGCUCACAUCCAAGAUCCCAAAAUUUUAAAAUAAUUGUUAUAAUUUAUUAUAAAUUGUUACCGCGGGUCGAAUUUCGCGUCC
rnacentral:lncRNA from 1 species